GCCAGGUGUGGUGGUGCGCACCUGUUGUCCCAGCUACUCAGGAGGCUGAGGCAGGAGAAUUGCUUGAACCCAGGAGGCAGAGAUUGCAGUGAGCCGAGAUCGUGCCACUGCACUCCAGCCUGGGUGACACAGCAAGACUCUGUCUCAA
rnacentral:SRP_RNA from 1 species